rnacentral:rRNA from 1 species
GUCCAGACUCCUACGGGAGGCAGCAGUGAGGCCUCUUGGUCAAUGGGCGCGAGCCUGACCCCGCCAAGUAGCUUGCCGUAUGACUGCCCUCCGGGUUGUACCCUUCUUUUAUAACGGCCUCAAGUGAGGCCCGUGUGCCUUUUUGUCUGUACUUUAUGCCUCCGGAUCGGCUCCCUCCGUGCCAGCAGCCGCGGUAAUCCGGCGGAUCCGAGCGUUAGCCGGAUUUAGGGGGGGUAAAGGGAGCGGAGAUGGGUUGGGAAGGCAGUUGUGAAAGUGUGCGGCUCAACCGGAAAAUUGCAAUUGAUACUGGCAGCCUUGAGGACAGUUGAGGUAGGCGGAAUUCGUGGGGGAGCGGUGAAAGGCGGAGAUAUCACGAAGAACUCCGAUUGAGAAGGCAGCCUACGAAAAGGCCACUGACAGGGAUGCUCGAAAGGGGGGGUAUCAAACAGGAUUAGAUACCCCAGUA